rnacentral:rRNA from 1 species
AUAACGGUCCUAAGGUAGCGAAAUUCCUUGUCGGGUAAGUUCCGACCUGCACGAAUGGCGUAACGACUUCCCCGCUGUCUCCAACAUCGACUCAGCGAAAUUGAAUUGCCUGUCAAGAUGCAGGCUUCCCGCGGUUAGACGGAAAGACCCCGUGCACCUUUACUACAGCUUCACACUGGUAUUCGUCACGACAUGUGUAGGAUAGGUGGUAGACGUUGAAGCAGGAGCGCCAGCUCUUGUGGAGUCACCCUUGAAAUACCACCCUUGUCGUCAUGGAUAUCUAACCGCGGUACAACAAUAUCCGGGACCGUGUGUGGCGGGUAGUUUGACUGGGGCGGUCGCCUCCUAAAGAGUAACGGAGGCGCGCGAUGGUAAGCUCAAGCCGGUCGGACAUCGGCUGUUGAGUGCAAUGGCAUAAGCUUGCCUGACUGUGAGGUCGACGGACCGAGCAGAGACGAAAGUCGGUCAUAGUGAUCCGGUGGUCCCGAGUGGAAGGGCCAUCGCUCAACGGAUAAAAGGUACUCCGGGGAUAACAGGCUGAUACCGCCCAAGAGUUCACAUCGACGGCGGUGUUUGGCACCUCGAUGUCGGCUCAUCACAUCCUGGGGCUGAAGCCGGUCCCAAGGGUAUGGCUGUUCGCCAUUUAAAGUGGUACGCGAGCUGGGUUUAGAACGUCGUGAGACAGUUCGGUCCCUAUCUGCCGUGGACGUUGGAGAUUUGAGGAAAGCUGCUCCUAGUACGAGAGGACCGGAGUGGACGAACCUCUGGUGUUCGGGUUGUGACGCCAGUCGCAUUGCCCGGUAGCUAUGUUCGGACAGGAUAACCGCUGAAAGCAUCUAAGCGGGAAGCCCCUUCCAAGAUGAGAUCUCCCUGGACCCUCGAGGUCCCUGAAGAGCCGUUCAAGACCAGGACGUUGAUAGGUCGGGUGUGUAAGCGCUGCGAGGCGUUGAGCUAACCGAUACUAAUUGCUCGUGCG